rnacentral:rRNA from 1 species
GAUGAACGCUGGCGGCGUGCCUAAUACAUGCAAGUCGAGCGAACAGACGAGGAGCUUGCUCCUCUGACGUUAGCGGCGGACGGGUGAGUAACACGUGGAUAACCUACCUAUAAGACUGGGAUAACUUCGGGAAACCGGAGCUAAUACCGGAUAAUAUAUUGAACCGCAUGGUUCAAUAGUGAAAGACGGUUUUGCUGUCACUUAUAGAUGGAUCCGCGCCGCAUUAGCUAGUUGGUAAGGUAACGGCUUACCAAGGCAACGAUGCGUAGCCGACCUGAGAGGGUGAUCGGCCACACUGGAACUGAGACACGGUCCAGACUCCAACGGGAGGCAGCAGUAGGGAAUCUUCCGCAAUGGGCGAAAGCCUGACGGAGCAACGCCGCGUGAGUGAUGAAGGUCUUCGGAUCGUAAAACUCUGUUAUUAGGGAAGAACAAAUGUGUAAGUAACUAUGCACGUCUUGACGGUACCUAAUCAGAAAGCCACGGCUAACUACGU